UACGAAGGGGGCUAGCGUUGUUCGGAAUCACUGGGCGUAAAGCGCACGUAGGCGGCUCUUUAAGUCGGGGGUGAAAUCCUGGAGCUCAACUCCAGAACUGCCUUCGAUACUGUAGAGCUUGAGUUCGGGAGAGGUGAGUGGAACUGCGAGUGUAGAGGUGAAAUUCGUAGAUAUUCGCAAGAACACCAGUGGCGAAGGCGGCUCACUGGCCCGAUACUGACGCUGAGGUGCGAAAGCGUGGGGAGCAAACAGGG
rnacentral:rRNA from 1 species